UACGUAGGGUGCAAGCGUUGCCCGGAUUUAUUGGGCGUAAAGGGCGCGUAGGCGGUCACGCACGUCCGUUGUGAAAUCGCUCGGCUCAACCGAGAAACGUCGGCUGAUACUGCCGUUCUUGAGGGAUGCAGAGGAGACUGGAAUUCCCGGUGUAGCGGUGAAAUGUGUAGAGAUCGGGAGGAACACCGGUGGCGAAGGCGGGUCUCUGGGCAUUUCCUGACGCUGAGGCGCGAAAGCGUGGGGAGCAAACGGG
rnacentral:rRNA from 1 species